rnacentral:rRNA from 1 species
UACGUAGGCAGCAAGCGUUGUUCGGAGCUACUGGGCGUAAAGGGUGCGUAGGCGGCUCAUGAAGGCUGUGGUGAAAGUCCGGGGCUCAACCUCGGAUCGGCCGUGGCGACUCGUGGGCUGGAGCACUGUAGAGGCGGGUGGAAUUCCGGGUGUAGCGGUGGAAUGCGUAGAGAUCCGGAAGAACACCAGUGGCGAAGGCGGCCCGCUGGGCAGUGGCUGACGCUGAGGCGCGACAGCGUGGGGAGCAAACAGG